rnacentral:rRNA from 1 species
CCUACGGGAGGCAGCAGUAGGGAAUCUUCCACAAUGGGCGAAAGCCUGAUGGAGCAACGCCGCGUGGGUGAAGAAGGUCUUCGGAUCGUAAAACCCUGUUGUUAGAGAAGAAAGUGCGUGAGAGUAACUGUUCACGCUUCGACGGUAUCUAACCAGAAAGCCACGGCUAACUACGUGCCAGCAGCCGCGGUAAUACGUAGGUGGCAAGCGUUAUCCGGAUUUAUUGGGCGUAAAGGGAACGCAGGCGGUCUUUUAAGUCUGAUGUGAAAGCCUUCGGCUUAACCGGAGUAGUGCAUUGGAAACUGGGAGACUUGAGUGCAGAAGAGGAGGGUGGAACUCCAUGUGUAGCGGUGAAAUGCGUAGAUAUAUGGAAGAACACCAGUGGCGAAAGCGGCUCUCUGGUCUGUAACUGACGCUGAGGUUCGAAAGCGUGGGUAGCAAACAGGAUUAGAUACCCCUGUAGUC